GCUUAAUCCCAUAGCACCACUAAUCUCUUCUACGAUUCCACAAACACCAAGCCAUAACAGCAAAGAUGACAUCCCACUACAUAUCACAACACCACAAACUGCUGCCACCGCUCACAGUCGGAGCAACAAUAUUGAUAUCACCCAAAUCUAGCCAUUCAAGCUCGCCCACAUCCAGCUGUUUCAAGAUCGCCAUAUCUUUUGCCCAUCGAGAUGAAUCAGUCAUUACUAGUUCCACCCUCUACCAUCGCCAAAAUCUCUACAACAACCAUAGACGAUAAUGAUGGCGGCGGUUGAGGCUGCAGGGCGACGGUGCAGACUGAGCUUGGCUUCGAUGGUGGUGAUUACAAUGGUGGCAUUUUUUGGUUUUUCUCUUAUCGGUUUGUAUUACUAUGUGAUUUUGCUAGUAAUGAGUUCUAUUAUUGAUGGUUUUGUUGUUAUUGAAAUCGUUAUUGUUA